rnacentral:rRNA from 1 species
GCAAGUCGAACGGCAGCACGGGUGCUUGCACCUGGUGGCGAGUGGCGAACGGGUGAGUAACACAUCGGAACAUGUCCUGUAGUGGGGGAUAGCCCGGCGAAAGCCGGAUUAAUACCGCAUACGAUCUAUGGAUGAAAGCGGGGGACCUUCGGGCCUCGCGCUAUAGGGUUGGCCGAUGGCUGAUUAGCUAGUUGGUGGGGUAAAGGCCUACCAAGGCGACGAUCAGUAGCUGGUCUGAGAGGACGACCAGCCACACUGGGACUGAGACACGGCCCAGACUCCUACGGGAGGCAGCAGUGGGGAAUUUUGGACAAUGGGCGAAAGCCUGAUCCAGCAAUGCCGCGUGUGUGAAGAAGGCCUUCGGGUUGUAAAGCACUUUUGUCCGGAAAGAAAUCCUUGGUUCUAAUAUAGCCGGGGGAUGACGGUACCGGAAGAAUAAGCACCGGCUAACUACGUGCCAGCAGCCGCGGUAAUACGUAGGGUGCGAGCGUUAAUCGGAAUUACUGGGCGUAAAGCGUGCGCAGGCGGUUUGCUAAGACCGAUGUGAAAUCCCCGGGCUCAACCUGGGAACUGCAUUGGUGACUGGCAGGCUAGAGUAUGGCAGAGGGGGGUAGAAUUCCACGUGUAGCAGUGAAAUGCGUAGAGAUGUGGAGGAAUACCGAUGGCGAAGGCAGCC